rnacentral:rRNA from 1 species
CGAAGACUCGAUUGUGAGCCCUCGGAUGGCAUUGACCAUCCAAACUCCUCGCUAGUCGAGGAGCUGCUCGUAAUAGAGCAGAGCCGUCGCCCCACCAUUAGCCUGGUGGAAGCGACCUCCAGAUUUAACUGGAGAGUUUGAUCCUGGCUCAGAACGAACGUUAGCGGCGCGCCUAACACAUGCAAGUCGAGCGAGAAAGGGCUUCGGCCCCGGUAAAGCGGCGCACGGGUGAGUAACACGUAGGCAAUCUGCCUCGAGGUGGUGGAUAACCCUCCGAAAGGAGGGCUAAUACAGCAUGAGACCACGUCGUCGAAAGACGAUGCGGCCAAAGCCGGCCUCUUCAUGAAAGCUGGCGCCACGAGAUGAGCCUGCGGCCCAUCAGCUAGUUGGUAGGGUAACGGCCUACCAAGGCAAAGACGGGUAGCUGGUCUGAGAGGAUGAUCAGCCACACUGGAACUGAGACACGGUCCAGACUCCUAC